GACGAACGCUGGCGGCGUGCUUAACACAUGCAAGUCGAACGGAAAGGCCCUGCUUUUGUGGGGUGCUCGAGUGGCGAACGGGUUGGUAACACGUGAGUAACCUGCCCUUGACUUUGGGAUAACUUCAGGAAACUGGGGCUAAUACCGGAUAGGAGCUCCUGCUGCAUGGUGGGGGUUGGAAAGUUUCGGCGGUUGGGGAUGGACUCGCGGCUUAUCAGCUUGUUGGUGGGGUAGUGGCUUACCAAGGCUUUGACGGGUAGCCGGCCUGAGAGGGUGACCGGCAACAUUGGGAAUGAGAUACGGCCCAGACUCAUACGGGAGGCAGCAGUGGGGAAGAUUGCACAAUAGGCGGAAACCUGAAGCAGCAACGCCGAGUGCGGGAUGACGGCCUUCGGGUUGUAAACCGAUUUCGCCAGUGACGAAGAGUGAGUGACGGUAAUGGGUAAAGAAGCACCGGCUAACUACGUG
rnacentral:rRNA from 1 species